AAAAGUCCGUACUUCUCCGGGGCUUUCUCGUGACUUGUUCUGGCACGUUUGCUUAUUCUGAUUCUCUGUUACGGCAAGUUUCAUCUAAACACUAACAGGAAUUUGAAGAUGUUAAUAAAAGAGGAAGGUACUUGGAUGUGCCAGUGCUCAUUUGCGCACAUGCCCAUAUGAGCGCAACGCGUCGCCUCUGAGAAGUACCUCCGCUCCGUCACGGACCUUCCUGUUACGAAUUUCUCGACAGUCCAAAAGGUUGCUGCACAGUGGCACACCUGGCAGAAGCGCUUUAUCCCAGUCAGCUGCAAUUUUCCAGAGAAACCUCUUUGCUGGAUAAUUACUUGCGAGGCUGGAGCAGAGAACAAGUUUGUGUAGCUCCCUGCAUUGGAGGGGAAGGUUGCCCUCCUCCUCCACCUGGCCGUUGACUUCAAGAACGUGGGGCACUGAAUGACCCAGCAGAGAGACAUCAUCUGCGAGCAAGGAGCCAGUGCCUCAGAGAUGAUGAUGUAGUCCCUAUGUGGGCCGCAGAAAGCACUUCGAGCCGUGCUGGAGUCGUGCUGGGUGGCUCUGAUAGCAGAGCUAAUGGGAGCGAAUGGGAUGCAACGAACUGUUCUAAUGACACCAGCCAGGGAAGAGACAACAUGCCAAGGACCGGCUUCUUGGAAAGGGUGUAUGAGAAGAAAUCAGAGGACCACCGUCUCUGCCGAACUGCCCCAGGAUGAAGCAGGACUAACUCCAUGGGCUUUCUCCAAGCAGCGCUGCACCCAUGUGUUUGGGAAAAGGGAACGAGAGGAAUGAAAAAUGGGCAGGAUUGAAAGGGGGAGAGAGAAAAAACAGACCGCUGUGCUCUCUGCACGCAGCGUCAGGUGCUGGAGGCAGGCUGAGCAAGCAGGACUCGCCCCCGUGAGGCUCCACUGAUGCUGAUGGGCUUGCACCCAGCUCUUAGGUCUCAUUCCUACGUAUGACCCACCCUACAUCAAAUGUGACUGCUAUCCCGCUUUCAUCUGCCCUAGAAGGAAGGCAAAACUUUGGUGCCUUCCCAGUGAAACUUCCCGUCCUCUGGCAUUGCCAGGGCAAGGGAAAGUGGGGAGAUCUUCCUUCCCAGCCUCGACCUCGGCACCCUUUUUUUUCUUUGCUAAGCAAGAGGUCCCUCCACUGAUGCCAUUGCAGAAGAGUCACUGCUGGUGGGGUUUGUGCCAGCCCUGCGGGGCACCGCAGUCCUGGGGGAUGGAGAGCGUGGGCUGGGCUCCCUGGACAAGGGCCAGAGAAGAUGCCGGACUAAGGCCUCCCAGCAGGAUUUCUACCUGCAGCUGCAGCUCUUGAGAAGAAGAUCCACCCUUCUUUUCCAUACAGGCUCUACGGAGCAGUGGUGGCAUCGGUGGAGUGCCGGUGGCAUUGGGGAGCUGCUGGUCAAGCUGCCAAAUACCAUCAGGGCUUGAAAGGUAACACCAGCAGCACCCCCUGGACGAGCUGCAUGUUUCUUUUCCAAGCCCAGCAGAAGCUAGCCUUGAAAUGGGGUAAGCACAUCCAUCUUACCCCAUCAUCAGUGGAAGCCAUGCUGCCAAGGACUGGUUGAAACAUGGCAUUUUCCACAAUGAACUUCAAAUGAUUUUCAGUUUGGGCAGAGUAGGAACAGCUUCCUCUCAGUAAAAUGUCUAUGAGAGCA